AGGUAGUUAGCCGGUGCUUUAGGUAGGUACCGUCAUUUUUUUCGUCCCUACUUACUGAACUUUACAAUCCGAAGACCUUCAUCGUUCACGCGGCGUCGCUGCUUCAGGCUUUCGCCCAUUGAGCAAGAUUCUUAACUGCUGCCUCCCGUAGGAG
rnacentral:rRNA from 1 species